rfam:Macrostomum lignano uti_cns_0005973, whole genome shotgun sequence.
AAAACGGCCCUUUUCAGGGCCACCACACUAAAUUGAUGUUAAAAU